rnacentral:rRNA from 1 species
GACGAACGCUGGCGGCGUGCUUAACACAUGCAAGUCGAACGGAAAGGCCCUGCUUUUGUGGGGUGCUCGAGUGGCGAACGGGUGAGUAACACGUGAGUAACCUGCCCUUGACUUUGGGGUAACUUCAGGAAACUGCGGCUAAUACCGGAUAUGAGCUCCUGCUGCAUGGGGGGGGAUGGUAAGUUUCGGCGGUUUGGGCUGGACUCGCGGCAUCUCCGCUUGUUGGGUGGGUAGUGGCGUACCAAGCCUUUGACGGGUAGCCGGCCUGAGAGGGUGACCGGCCACAUUGGGACUACGAGACGGCCCAGACUCCUACGGGAGGCAGCAGUGGGGAAUAUUGCGCAAUGGGCGGAAGCCUGAUGCGGCAACGCCGCGUGCGGGAUGACGGCCUUCGGGUUGUAAACCGCUGUCGCCUGAGACGAAGCGUGAGUGACGGUAAUGGGUAAAGAAGCACCGGCUAACUACGUG